UACGAGGGGGGCGAGCGUUGUUCGGAAUUAUUGGGCGUAAAGGGUGCGUAGGCGGUUUGGUAAGUCUUGUGUGAAAUCUACAGGCUCAACUUGUAGUCUGCACGAGAAACUGCCGGGCUUGAGUGUGGGAGAGGUGAGUGGAAUUCCUGGUGUAGCGGUGAAAUGCGUAGAUAUCAGGAGGAACACCUGUGGCGAAAGCAGUCUUCUGGACGGAUACUGACGCUCAGGUUCGAAAGCCAAGGUAGCAAACAGG
rnacentral:rRNA from 1 species